AUACUCCUACGGGAGGCAGCAGUGGGGAAUUUUGGACAAUGGGCGCAAGCCUGAUCCAGCAAUGCCGCGUGCAGGAUGAAGGCCUUCGGGUUGUAAACUGCUUUUGUACGGAACGAAAAAGCUCUCUCUAAUACAGGGGGUGAAUGACGGUACCGUAAGAAUAAGCACCGGCUAACUACGUGCCAGCAGCCGCGGUA
rnacentral:rRNA from 1 species